rnacentral:lncRNA from 1 species
AUGACCCCGGGAUCCCGGCGUGAGCGGCCCCAGGUGAGGGCGGGCGGCGCGGGGCGGGGCGGGGCGGGGCGGGGCGGCCUCCGCCGGCGCCGCGACUCCGGCUCCCGGGUCCAGGGCCGGGCCGGGCACGCGCGGGUCCAGCCAGCCGCGCAGCCGGCUCCCAGCCGCCGGUGUGCGUGUGUGUCCCCUCCCGGUGUGCGUGUGUGUCCCCUCCCGGUGUGCGUGUGUUUCCCCUCCCGGUGUGCGUGUGUCCUCCCCGGUGUGCGUGGGUCCCCGGUGUGCGUGUCCCCUCCCGGUGUGUGUGUCCCCGGUGUGCGUGUGUCCUCCCCGUGUGUGUGUCCCCUCCCGGUGUGUGUGUCCCCUCCCGGUGUGUGUCCCCUCCCCGUGUGCGUGUCCCCGGUGUGCGUGUGUCCUCCCCGUGUGUGUGUCCCCUCCCCGUGUGCGUGUCCCCUCCCGGUGUGUGUCCCCUCCCCGUGUGCGUGUCCCCGGUUUGCGUGUGUCCUCCCCGUGUGUGUGUCCCGGUGUGUGUGUGUCCCCGGUGUGUGUGUCCCCGGUGUGUGUGCGUCCCGGUGUGUGUCCUCCCCGUGUGUGCGUGUGUCUUCCCCCCGGGUGUCUCCCGGUGUGUGUGCGUCCCCGGUGUGUGCGUCCCCUCCCGGUGUGUGCGUCCCCUCCCGGUGUGUGCGUCCCCUCCCGGUGUGUGUGUCCCCGGUGUGUGUGCGUCCCGGUGUGUGUGACCCCGGUGUGUGUCCUCCCCGUGUGUGCGUGUGUCUUCCCCCCGGGUGUCUCCCGGUGUGUGUGCGCCUUCUCCCGGUGUGUGCGUUCCGGUGUGUGUGUCCCCUCCCGGUGUGUGCGUUCCGGUGUGUGUGUCCCCUCCCGGUGUGUGUCUCCUCCGGGCCGUCUCCCGCGGCCCGGUCCGUCCGUUCGUCCGUCCGUCCCCGUGUGCGCGCCUGUCUCCCUGUCAGGGCACCGUCCUUGUCUUCUCUGGGUUCCGGUGUCUUCCCCCCUCCCCUCCGGUGCAUACCCCUCUCCCGGUCUUCUUCCGUCGCUUCUGUCGUCCCCUGGACCCAGGUCCCUUCCAGGACCCUUGCCUUCCGCCUGGCUUGA